UACGGGGGGAGCAAGCGUUGUUCGGAAUCACUGGGCGUAAAGGGAGUGUAGGCGGUUCGGUAAGUGGGAUGUGAAAUCCCCGGGCUCACCCCGGGACCUGCAUCUCAUACUGCUGAGCUUGAGUACAGGAGAGGGUGGGGGAAUUCCUGGUGUAGCAGUGAAAUGCGUAGAUAUCAGUCGGAACACCAGUGGCGAAGGCGGCUUCUUGGGCCAUUACUGACGCUGAGGCGCGAAAGCGUGGGGAGCAAACAGG
rnacentral:rRNA from 1 species